rnacentral:rRNA from 1 species
UACGGAGGGGGCUAGCGUUGUUCGGAAUUACUGGGCGUAAAGGGCUCGUAGGCGGCCAACUAAGUCAGACGUGAAAUCCCUCGGCUUAACCGGGGAACUGCGUCUGAUACUGGUUGGCUUGAGUGUGGGAGAGGGAUGCGGAAUUCCAGGUGUAGCGGUGAAAUGCGUAGAUAUCAGGAGGAACACCGGUGGCGAAGGCGGGUCUCUGGGCCGAUACUGACACUGAGGAGCGAAAGCGUGGGGAGCGAACAGG